GAACAAUUUCCCCCACGCCGAAAAAGUUUUUCCUCGGUAUAAAACAAAACUGUCAACAGAGAAGAAAGGAGGGGUGAAUGAGGACGGGCUAUCUAACGGUGUCUCUGACUCCUAAACAUUUGUGGCCUCACCAACCUCCCCAGUGUUUAUUGUUACUCCACCAAGGAACGCAACAGAGUUGUGUGGCUCGUUCGUCCCUCUGUUUGUCUGUCUGGCUUUCUGUGCGUAACAUUACUCCAAAAUGGACAAACUGAUUUGAAUGAAAUUUUCAGGGAAGGUCAGAAAUGACACAAAGACCACCUGAUUAGAUUUUGGCAGUGAUGCAGCUUAUAGUCCUCACCCCAACUUAUAAUAAUAUAGUAUAAGCUGCACUAUGCUGUAUUAUGCUUAAUUCCUUUAAACUUAUAUACUAUACUACAAUUUUUACUAUAAUAUUGUAUACAUUAUGCUGUUACACUGCAUAACAUAGCUAUGCUAUACUAGACUGCACUGUAAUAUACUUUACUAUGCUGUACUAUACUAUACUACACUAUAUUAUGCUGUACUGUACUAAGAAAUACUAUACUAUACAACACAAAAUGUCACUAUAAUAAUGUAUUGUGCAUGGCAUACAGUUCUAUACUGCUCUAUCUCUCAAUAAUAAACUGAAGUGUAAUAAUA